GUGCUUGCUUUGGCAGCACAUAUACUAAAAUUGGAAUGAUACAGAGAAGAUUAACAUGGCCCCUGCGCAAGGGUGACACGCAAAUUUUGUGAAGCGUUCCAUAUUUUU
rnacentral:snRNA from 1 species